AGCAUACGUGGUGUUUCUAGGAACAGCAAAGAAGCCAGUGCAGCUGGACCACAACAGGCUCUAUAAUCACAGUGACAUUCUGAAAGAAGACCUUGAAGCCUGUGGAACAGCUGUCCUUCACCAGCCUCCGAGACUCUUACCUGGAGGUGGCAGCCAUGAAAAGCAAGUCAGAUCUGAACAAGCGUCAGCCUCAGGCUUGUUGAGGGCACAGUUGGGUCAGCACAUGGCCACCUUGAAAGAACGUGAUAAUUCUAUCACAGAAGAGGUAGCUAAGAAGUCUGAAG